rnacentral:lncRNA from 1 species
AGACAGGAAAGAAGACAGAGACAUAGGGAAGAUGGCCAUGGGAAGACAGAAGCAGAGAUUGGGGUGAUGUGUCCACAAGCCAAGGAACACCAAGAAUUGCCAGUAGCCACCAGAAGCUGAAAGAGACAAAGGAAGAGUCUUCCUUGGAGUCGUCAGGAGGAGUGUGGCCCUGCUGAUAUGUUGACUUCAGACUUCUAGCCUCCAGGACUGUGAAAGAAUAAAUUUCUGUGGUUGUAAGCCACUAAGUUUGGAUAACUUUUAAUGACAGCCCUGGGAAACUAACACAGGCCCAAUUCUCCCCUCUUUUGUCCUGUGACUCUUACUCUUCAACCUUCUCACUCUUCCCAGAGGGUACCUGAAUACUGUAAUACUGUACCAGACCGAUGGCCACCUGAUAUGGGCUCUGAGCAAGAGCCACCCCUGCCUUCAGCAGCCACCAUCCUGAUCAAUGAGCAGCCAUCAACAUUGAGACAAGAUUUCACCAGCAAAAAGAUUACAGCUCACUGAUGACUCAGAUGAUCUUUAGUAUUUUUUGGCAAUA